UACAGAGGUGGCAAGCGUUGUUCGGAAUUACUGGGCGUAAAGGGCGCGUAGGCGGUCUUGUAAGUCCUGUGUGAAAUCCCCCGGCUCAACUGGGGAAUUGCACGGGAAACUGCUUGGCUUGAGUUCGGGAGAGGGAAGCGGAAUUCCGGGUGUAGCGGUGAAAUGCGUAGAUAUCCGGAGGAACACCGGUGGCGAAGGCGGCUUCCUGGACCGACACUGACGCUGAGGCGCGAAAGCUAGGGGAGCAAACGGG
rnacentral:rRNA from 1 species